UCGAGAAUAUUCGACAAUGGGCGAAAGCCUGAUCGAGCGACGCCGCGUGCAGGAUGAAGGCCCUCGGGUUGUAAACUGCGGUAGUAGGGGAGGAACGCAAGUGACUGUACCCUACGGAAAGUGGUUGGUAACUACGUGCCAGCACCAGCGGUAAUACGUAGACCACAAGCGUUAUCCGGAUUUAUUGGGCGUAAAGAGCAUGUAGGAGGUCCGGUGCGUCUCUGGUUAAAGCCCACCGCCUAACGGUGGAAGUGCCAGAGAUACGAUCGGACUGGAGGAUGUGAGAGGUGCAUGGAACUCACGGUGUAGGGGUGAAAUCCGUUGAUAUCGUGGGGAACACCAAAGGCGAAGGCAGUGCACUGGUACAUUCCUGACUCUGAGAUGCGAAAGCGUGGGGAGCAAAAAGGAUUAGAUACCCUUGUAGUCCCUGAGCGGGCUGGCAAGGCGCAU
rnacentral:rRNA from 1 species